rnacentral:rRNA from 1 species
GAUGAACGCUGGCGGCGUGCCUAAUACAUGCCAGUCGAGCGAACAGACGAGAGUGCUUGCACUCUCUGACGUUAGCGGCGGACGGGUGAGUAACACGUGGGUAACCUACCUAUAAGACUGGGAUAACUUCGGGAAACCGGAGCUAAUACCGGAUAAUAUUUAGCUUCGCAUGAAGCAAUAGUGAAAGACGGUUCUGCUGUCACUUAUAGAUGGACCCGCGGUGUAUUAGCUAGUUGGUGAGGUAACGGCUUACCAAGGCAACGAUACAUAGCCGACCUGAGAGGGUGAUCGGCCACACUGGGACUGAGACACGGCCCAGACGCCUGCGGGAGGCAGCAGUAGGGAAUCUUCCGCAAUGGACGGAAGUCUGACGGAGCAAUGCCGCGUGAGUGAAGAAGGUGUUCGGAUCGUAAAACUCUGUUGUAAGGGAAGAACAAGUACGUUAGUAACUGAACGUACCUUGACGGUACCUUACCAGAAAGCCACGGCUAACUACGUG